rnacentral:rRNA from 1 species
GGAUUAGAUACCCUGGUAGUCCACGCCGUAAACGAUGAUCACUCGAUAUACGUCUUUCGAGAUGUGUGUCCAAGCGAAAGCAUUAAGUGAUCCACCUGGGGAGUACGUUCGCAAGAAUAAAACUUAAAGGAAUUGACGGGGAUCCGCACAAGCGGUGGAGCAUGUGGUUUAAUUCGAUACUACGCGAGGAACCUUACCUAGGCUCGAAUGUAUUUUGACGCAUCCAGAAAUGGAUGUUUCCGCAAGGACAAUUUACAAGGUGCUGCAUGGCUGUCGUCAGCUCGUGCUG